CCUACGGGUGGCUGCAGUGAGGAAUAUUGGUCAAUGGACGAGAGGCUGAACCAGCCAAGUCGCGUGAGGGAUGACUGCCCUAUGGAUUGUAAACUUCUUUUGUCUGGGAGUAAAGUGUUCCACGUGUGGGAGUUGGUGUGUACCUGAUGAAUAAGCAUCGGCUAACUCCGUGCCAGCAGCCGCGGUAAUACGGAGGAUGCGAGCGUUAUCCGGAUUUAUUGGGUUUAAAGGGAGCGUAGGUGGGUUUUUAAGUCAGUUGUGAAAUUUUGGGGCUCAACCGUCAUACAGCAGUUGAAACUGGUAGUCUUGAGUAGACGAGAGGUAGGCGGAAUUCGUGGUGUAGCGGUGAAAUGCAUAGAUAUCACGAAGAACUCCGAUUGCGAAGGCAGCACACCGG
rnacentral:rRNA from 1 species